rnacentral:lncRNA from 1 species
ACCAGUUGAAUAGAAGGCUUUAGCCACAAGCUUGUCUACCAUAAGUCUUUCUUCCUUCUUCAGACAUUCCACGAUGAGUGGUUGCUUUUUUCGAUUACGAACUAUGUCGACAAGACUCUCACCAUCAUUCAAAGAAAGCGCUUUCACCUUUGUAUUGAUGGAUCCAGUGGAAGAAAAAAUAGUCUUCUUUACCGACACCGCUGACCUCUUUACUUUUUUGGGAUCAAUAAGAUUUUCUUUGACGAAAAUGACAUUAGGUUGGUCAUCAACAUAUAUUGAUUUCCCUUUCAUUGCUUUCAACUUUUUUUCUUUGACAUGUUCAUGGAUAUCUCAUUACGAACGAAAGAUGUGGUCUUUGAACAUUUGAUGCAAUUUUUAUCACCACCAAGAAAGUGACAUUUCAUUUGAAAUCCAAUGACAAAAUAAACAUUUGACUCCAUUAGAGUCACUCUUUUUCAACAGAAUGACAUAUUUCCAUGCUGGAUCGCUUGACUUCGGUCGUAGUUUGGUGUCAUUCGUCUCCUCCUCAGUGGUUUUAAAAUGCCACUUGAUUAAAGGUUCAUCUUCUCCAACAACUUGAUGGGAUAAAUCAUUGGCAUCGACAUCAUCAUGUGGCUAGAUCUUCAUCAUCUAAUGGCUCUUCAUUGACAUCGACUUCAUCGUUGUAAUAUAUCUCAUCAUUCUCUUGGUAUAAGUCAUCAUCAUAAGUCAUCGUCAUCCCUAAUUGUGAUUGGAUAAAAUAUGAAUGGAAAAGCAACAAAAAUUAAAAAACAGUCAGAGAAAUAAGGAAAAGGAAUUGAGGAUUAAUAUUAUAUUUAGGAAUAUUUUAUUCCAACAGUAAGGGAAGGAUUAAGGAUUAAUAUUUUCAGUAAGGGAAUAUUUUAUUUCAACACGUGUCAUUCUUCUCACAUGUGAGUUGUGACUAGCUAUGUGAGUAUUUUAAAAAUAUUCUUCAUGUGGCUCUUCAUAUGAUAAGUCAUUAACAUCGACAUCAUCAUGUGGCUCUUCAUCAUCUUGUGGCUCUUCAUUGACAUCGACUUCAUCGUCGUAAUACAUCUCAUCAUUCUCUUGGUAUAAGCAGUCAUCGUCAUUCCUAAUUGUGAUUGGAUAAAAUCUGAAUGGAAAAAUAACAAAAAUUAAAAAACAGUAAGGGAAAUAGGGAAAAGGAAUUAAGGAUUAAUAUUAUAUUUAGGGAUAUUUUAUUCCAACAACAGUAAGGGAAUGAUUAAGGAUUAAUAUUUUCAGUAAGAGAAUAUUUUAUUUCAACAUAUGUCAUUUUUCUCCAAGCUUUUUCAGGCAGCCAGGCGACCGCAUAUGCUACCUAAUAUGCGACAUUUUUUUUAUUUAUUUUUUUUACUUACAAAAAAGUGAAAAAACCCUUAAAGUAUUUGAUAAAAACCUCCGGCGAGCUUGAAGGAGAGGUCCGGCGAGAUCACAGGAGCUUCGGCGAGGUGAGAAGAGAGGAGGAAGAAAUGGAUUUCCGUUUUUUUUGGCAAGAGGGAGGGUGGCAACGGUUAGAUUUUCAGAUUUAGAGUUUUUUUACUUAUAUAUAGGAUUUUUUAUUUUUUAUUUAAUUGAGUAUUUUUUUAAGGUCUUUAAGUUGUUACAAAAUAAUAUUAUUCAUUACAAUUUUUAAUUUUUUACUUGGGUAAAUGGGUUGGGUGGUCGGAUCUGGCUAAGCCCCAUAAAUAUGCGACCCCCCAAAUAUGCGAUGGGGGGAUUGCGCCUGGUCGCAUAUACGACAAAUCAAAAACCUUGUUCUUCUCACAUGUGAGUUGUGACUAUGUGAGUAUUUUAAAAAUAUUCACAGUAGACAUCAUCAUGUGGCUCUUCAUCAUGUGAUAAGUCAUUGGCAUCGACAUCAUCAUGUGACUCUUCAUCAUGUGAUAAGUCAUUGGCAUCGACAUCAUCAUGUGGCUCUUCAUCAUCUUGUGGCUCUUCAUUGACAUCGACUUCAUCGUCGUAAUACAUCUUAUCAUUCUCUUGGUAUAAAACAUCGUCAUCCCUAAUUGUGAUUGGAUAAAAUCUGAAUGGAAAAGCAACAAAAAUUAAAAAAUAGUAAGAAAAAUAGGGAAAAGGAAUAAGGAAUUAAGGAUUAAUAUUAUAUUUAAGGAUAUUUUAUUUCAACAGUAAGGGAAGGAUUAAAGAUUAAUAUUUUCAGUAAAGGAAUAUUUUAU